rnacentral:rRNA from 1 species
CAGCGCCAUGAGUGGCAAUCAUAAUUAUUGGGCCUAAAGCGUCCGUAGCCGGUUUGAUCCGUCUUUUGUGAAAUUGUUUGGCUUAACCAAACAUUGUGCAAAAGAUACAAUCAAACUUGGAACUGGGAGGAGUCAGAGGUAUUCUAAGGGGAGCGGUAAAAUGCUAUAAUCCUUGGAAGACCACCUGUGGCGAAAGCAUCUGACUAGAACAGAUUCGACGGUGAGGGACGAAAGCUAGGGGAGCAAACCGGAUUAGAUACCCGAGUAGUCC